AGCUUCUUGAUAUCGGAGGCCAAUAUGACGCAAAGAAGUAUGUAAAAGUUGUCUAUGUGCCAUAUGAUAUAUAAAUGAAAGGCGUUAACGGCGCGUUACUGCGUCGCCUAGUUAAUUAGAAGAAUUAAUUAGCAUCGAUAAGUAGCAUAAUUAAUAUGCGCAACCGAGGCGCCUUCCUCCGGAUGUCGAUGCGGUGUCGAAGAUGUCGCGAUUUUCGGCAUCGUGAAACGAACUCCCACACCUCCAUCUUCGACCACCUACGAUGAUUCGUGCAUCACAUCGAAUUAGCAGAAUACCAAGAUCUUAUAGAAAGAGAGCUUCAUCCCAGAAAAAAAUCUUAUACCAAGAAGGUUAAAAAUCGAACGAAAGUCUAUUUACGAAAUUCAACUGUUUUGAUAAUUUAUAGCAUAGGUGCGAAUAAAAUAUUUGUAAUGGAAAAGUUUCGUUUCUUAGAGAAUCUAUGCCUUACACCUCAUUGUAUUUCCAAUACUAUGCUCCACUAAAUAAUGAUUCACGUUUGUCUGCUUACUUUCGAUACGUCGUGCUAUAAUCGUCGUUACAGCUCCCCACGAUCUGCGUAUAUCGCGAUCGAUCGGCUAGAACUAUCGUACUGGUGAUUAGGUAUCGCAAUGACAAAAAUUCGAGGGGAGUCAAGUAAUAAGAUCACGCACGUGAUCAUGUGUGCCGCGUC
rnacentral:misc_RNA from 1 species